rnacentral:piRNA from 1 species
CAACUGCUGCUUUUGUGGAAC